AUUGAACGCUGGCGGCAGGUCUAACACAUGCAAGUCGAACGGUAACAGGAAGAUGCUUGCUUCUUUGCUGACGAGUGGCGGACGGGUGAGUCAUGUCUGGGAAACUGCCUGAUGGAGGGGGUUAACUACUGGAAACGGUAGCUAAUACCGCAUAACGUCGCAAGACCAAAGAGGGGGACCUGCGGGCCUCCUGCCAUCGGAUGUGCCCAGAUGGGAUUAGCUAGUAGGUGGGGUAACGCCUCACCUAGGCGACGAUCCCUAGCUGGUCCGAGAGGCUGACCCGCCACACUGGAACUGAGACACGGUCCCGACUCCUACGGGAGGCAGCAGUGGGGAAUAUUGCACAAUGGGCGCAAGCCUGAUGCAGCCAUGCCGCGUGUAUGAAGAAGGCCUUCGGGUUGUAAAGUACUUUCAGCGGGGAGGAAGGGAGUAAAGUUAAUACCUUUACUCAUUGACGUUACCCGCAGAAGAAGCACCGGCUAACUCCGUG
rnacentral:rRNA from 1 species